GUCCUAAGUUCUGAGCCAGCUUAGGGGUCAAACAGACCGCUGGUCACGUGGGGUGGUCACCUGGUCAUCGGGAAAGCUCAGCGUGAGACAGCUGACAGUGUGAAGACGCUGGGGGAGGAUGAACACAUGGAUCUGGCCUGAUGGAGACAAAAAGGAAACUUGAUCCUCAGUUAAGAAGAUACGCACCUCACCCCCAGCAGUGGGUCAGAAAAGUGGGCAUCCUGCCACACCCCAGGGUGCACCCCACAAACCAGUCAAUUGAAGACUCCCCUGAGGACCUUUUGGAGGAGCUCCCUCAUGACAGAGCAGAGGAAGAAACCCUAUCUAACGCCGAGAUUGGAUUGUUGACCGAAGAUAUGACUCAAGUAGCGAGGACGAAGACUCCCCAGGCCAUUCCAUCACCAUUACUGCCCUUGUGCACGCAGAAGCCUGUGUUACAGAUUCUGAGGACUGAGUUACAGAGACCAGCAAUCUGCCUAUAAUUAAUUUCCUAUUUAAGUCUCUCUCUUUUUUAAUUCUGUUUAUAUUCUACCGGUGGAUGCUUCUUCAUUGCUCUUCUCUGUUCCUUCUUAUGAUUUUCAUCCUAAAGAACUUGGUCUUGUCCAGAGACUUGAGGUCCAGAGAUCUUCCAUGUCUAGAAAAAUUUCUCUCCAGCCCUCCUCCCUCCCUGGCUUUCCCAUCGUCAUCCUGACGCCUGACACCCAGUCUGCACAACUGAGUUGUGCUGAGCAAUCCUGAGUGGCCAGCAUAGAGGUGGGCUGGGCAUUAGAAAAACUGAGUACCCCUCCUAUGGGGGUUCUCCUGCACUGGAUGGCUCGACACGCACAGCUGUUUCUUGCCUUUCAGCUGUCAGGAUUACACAAUUUAUUUUUAGAAAAAGGUUAUUCCAUCAGGAAUCUAAUUCCAGAAAUCCUCCUGUCCUGGGUUCAAGAGAAUGAAUCAAGAAAGUAAAAGGUGAUGAAAAAGAGCAAGAAGAGGAAAUGUGAGUGUUAGAGAGGGUAGGAGGACGUGCAGAAGGCGGAUAAGUGCACUUCAGGAAAACCCCCAAACCAGAGGAGCGCCCUGGGGUGGCCACCACGGCAUGUGACCGUGCAGGGGAGAUGAGUGAUGGCUCCCAUCAGUGCCAGUGAGGGAAGGGUGAACUGACUACAUGUCCCAGGGAAUGGACACCCAGUCCUUCCCAGGCCCCGAAGAGGGGGCCGUACGUGCCUGCAGGGCUACCAUAUGCAGGACUCCGGGAGGGACAGGUCGCGUUGCAUUCUUUGUGGAAAGCGUCCCUGGUAUGGUUAAGUGUCCUGUCCUCCUGACUUUCUCAAGCUAAACAAGGAGCUCCUCAACUGAUCAGUGUGGUGACAGUGUGACAUGCCCUUGAUGCCCCACCCCCACCCCCGUUUCAGGCUCCUUGGACAAGGGUGAGGCGCGCAGAGGCACCAAGGUUCCUGCUCAUAACAAGCAGGCAGUUCCCUGUGGGCACACACAGUCACCCUGACAUCAAGCAGGGGACCCUGCAGGAUUCACACCUGGCUGGGAUUUGCCCAAGCCCUGGGGACCCCCUCAGCCUCUGUGGAGCCCCGUGGAACGGCCUUGGUCCCCUCAUGGCAUCGUUUCUCGGGCUGAGAUUCUGCCAACUUUCCACAUACAAAUAAAACUCAAAACACAAGAAUGUGAAAGAAACUCAAUGCAGUGCUAACUCGAGGGUAUGUUAAGGAGUUAGGAUUCUAAGUUACUUGCAUUUCUUUUUAUUUCCC
ensembl:lincRNA